AUCCAACUGACGAGUCCGGAAUAGGACGAAACGUGAGUCGCGGAU
rfam:Schistosoma margrebowiei strain Zambia genome assembly, scaffold: SMRZ_scaffold0000016